AUUUAUAUAGUUUAAAUAUAAAACAUUACAUUUUCACUGUAAAAAUAAAAUUCUUUAUUUUUAUAAAUA
rnacentral:tRNA from 1 species